ensembl:lncRNA LINC02641 long intergenic non-protein coding RNA 2641
GGCGGUGACAUCAGCAAAAGGGAGCCAACUCCUUCCCCGUCUGCCGUUUUGUACUCUUGGCCUAACGUUGACUCAAAACAGCAACUUGGAGCCUUCCCUGACCUGUUGGCAUUCCUUUAUCAUCCAACUCCUGCUUCGGGAAAAUUUGUUUCUGUCUGUCUCCAAGAUACAAAAUCAAAAAGGUGUUUUAAUCCUGAGGAAGAGUGUGAGUCUGGGAAAAUUUUGGAUCACCGAGGUGCAGCCAUACCUUCCACAGCCAUCACUGUUGCUUACAACUCACAUGCCAAGAAUUGCAAGAUGAAGAUGGUGAUCAGGAGGCAUGACUUGGAAGAAGAGCCCAAGGACCGUAGCAAGGCCCUGAUUCUGGGAGACGAGAGAACACGCUGACUUAGAAUGCUUGUCUCUGCAUCCUGGUCAGAAAGUAGAUGGACGACACUUUCAUCUCCGACUGGAUUUUGGUGAGAGAUGGGCAAACCCCGGGCUCUAGGCUGGAGCAGCAGCUCUUGUAUCCACACAAAAUCAGGACUGGUGGAGGGAGCCAUCUUCAAACAUAAAUUUGCGUCUUUUGGCAAUGCACUCCUUGGGUUUGGAAGCUUCCCUCCAAGAUGCUGAGCCCAAUGUUUGGGGAAAGCCAGGGAAACAGAUGCUGGGUCAGUGCUGCUCCCACCUCCUCUGCUCCCCUCCUGAGGGCUCCACUGAGUCACCAGCCAGCAAACAGCCCAUGCGCCCUGGAGCAGAUGGACUGUGGGUACACGAGCCUCUGAACUCUUGGGCAGCAUGGGCACAACAUCCUUUUGGCCUCACCCAAUGACCUGGCUUCUGUUAUUUCUAGAAGGAAGCCUUGCCUUUAUCAUCAUCUCACUACCAUAAUCACCAUCAUUAUCAUCACCAUCAUCAUCACCAUUAUCACCACCACUAUCAUCAUGAUCACCAUCAUCAUCACCAUCAUCAUCGUCAUCACCACCAUCACCGCCACCACCAUCAUCAUCAUCCUCGUUGUCAUCAUCAUCAACAUCAACAUCAUCUUUUACUAAAGUGAGAGAUAGGGCCAAGUCCAUUGAACUGUGUACCUUUAAUUCCGACAAGCUUUCCCUUCCUCUCACUUUCUCCAGCACUUUUCUGAGCUUCUGGUAUAACAAGUUUUAGAAUUUGAUUACAGCACCAUCUACUGGGUACUAGACUUCCCAUUUUUCUAGGCCUUUCCUAUACGUUGAUGUUUGCUUCUUCUUUCUGUUUUUCCUCCGCUCUCUCCUGCUUUUUCCCCCAUGAAAGUAACAAUUGUUAGUUUGAAAAGGUUCCAUCAAUUAAUUCCUAAAAGUGAAGCUCUUCUAAAAUGAGGAAAAGCUUAACAUCCCUUGCCAAUAAAUACAAAGACAAUGGCCGAUGCUUACUGCAA